UUGUGAAAAAUUUUUAUGGCCGUUUCAAGUGACAGCUCGCUCAGCUGGCUGUGUGAUAAUCAACAGGCAGCUGUGAGAGAAGUUGCAAGAGACGGGAACUUUCUGCUGACUUCAAA
rnacentral:precursor_RNA from 10 species